rnacentral:rRNA from 1 species
UAGGGAAUCUUCCGCAAUGGGCGAAAGCCUGACGGAGCAACGCCGCGUGAGUGAUGAAGGUCUUCGGAUCGUAAAACUCUGUUAUUAGGGAAGAAUAAAUGUGUAAGUAACUAUGCACGUCUUGACGGUACCUAAUCAGAAAGCCACGGCUAACUACGUGCCAGCAGCCGCGGUAAUACGUAGGUGGCAAGCGUUAUCCGGAAUUAUUGGGCGUAAAGCGCGCGUAGGCGGUUUUUUAAGUCUGAUGUUAAAGCCCACGGCUCAACCGUGGAGGGUCAUUGGAAACUGGAAAACUUGAGUGCAGAAGAGGAAAGUGGAAUUCCAUGUGUAGCGGUGAAAUGCGCAGAGAUAUGGAGGAACACCAGUGGCGAAGGCGACUUUCUGGUCUGUAACUGACGCUGAUGUGCGAAAGCGUGGGGAUCAAACAGG